AGGAGCAAGAUCGCUCUUUAGACAAUGAUGAGUUUGUAACAACUAAAUUUUAAUUACAACAUUCAAAGAACCUCGGCGGUACUUUAGUCUAGUUGGAGGAACCUGUUUUAUAAACGAUAAUACCACCGUAGAAAUCUUUCUUGUUCUUCGUAAAGUCUAGUAUACCUUCAUUACAGAUAAUUUUUAUUGAUUAAUUAUUGAAAUUGGUUCUUAACCAGAGUAAAUUAGAUCAAGGUGCUGCAAAUGGACCAAGUAAAAAUGGGUUACAAUGGUUUUUGACGUUAAGCUGGAUUAUAUUCGAGGAUGAGUAUAUGAAGAUGUGCAUUCAGUUGUAAUUCUAACUAUACUAAGGUAAAACUAUGAUUAGUACCCUCUA
rnacentral:rRNA from 1 species